GGGUUGUUAGCUCAGUUGGUAGAGCGUCUCGUUUACACCGAGAAUGUCGGCGGUUCGAGCCCGUCACGACCCACCA
rnacentral:tRNA from 5 species